AGCAAGGGGAGGAAGUGAGGUGGAGCAAUGGCCAAGUAGGGGAUCAAGUAACACCUUGGAAGCUGUGGUCAGAUCGUAGCUGUCAUUGCAAGUGCAAUGGGAGGACAGACACGAGAGAGUUUUGAGCACCUGUUUUACAUUUUAAAUUCCUCAUCUGGCAGCUGUGCGCUUCAGAGACAGCAGGACAAGCAGAGUGGAAGCAAGGGUAGCAGUUUGCCAAUCUGAUGGGUGAAAUACAGUGUUUCAAUUGUUUUCCCUAACUCCUAGUAAGCAAUUGCUGUCCGCUGCACAGCUGCAGGAGCACAGGAAAGCCUACUGAGGUGCUCUGUGAAAGGAUAAUCUGGGAAGCUCAGAAACCUUCAUCUGUUCAUCCUUAAAAUAUGCACAUGGGUUUGCUUGGUUGUCUCCUCUUCCUGAUCAUGCGGGUGGUAUUAAGAGAGAAGAUCUAUAGCCAGUGAGGAAGAAGAGGACGGACUGCAUCUACACUAUCAAGAAUGAAGAGCAAAGGGUAGACAUGUGAGCCACAUCCGAAUCAAAACUGCAGUGAGACAUGUCUCCCUGCCGGUGUGUUCGCUACUCAAAGCAAAAAAAAAAAAAAAAAAAAUCAUCUUCUUGUGCAUCAAGAGGUAAUGAGAGGACACUGGACUGGGAGUUAGGAGAACAGGGUUUUCAAGUUCCUUUUCCAUCAGCUUGAAGUGUGGUUUGGAGCAAGUUAUAUAUGCCAGGUGGACUCUCUAGGCCAGUGUCUUCGCUGGAAGAAGACUGAAGGAUUUCCAACAUCCUUUGCCCACCAUGAGCACCCAGAGUUUCAGCAGGAUGCCCUGGGUUCUGCAGACAGUAACACCCAGAGCAGGAGACUGCCCCUGAGCCUGUGCCCAGACAGAGGACCUCACAGAGCACAGGCCUCCUGUAUUUUUUCCACUUGACCACAUUCUUAUCGGCAGGGUAGUGCUAUUGUCGGGUUGCCCAUCAGAUAGAACAUUCCACCACAGGUGGAUGCAUUUCAGUGAGUCGCCAAUAAACUGCAAAGAAAUCCCUGCUUCUAGGAUCAGAUAGCCUGAAAUAGCAGAAGUACUUACAGACCUUUAAUUUUCGAUGCAACUCCACAAAAGAACCAAAAGCAAAUG
rnacentral:lncRNA from 1 species